ACGGUUUUGGGCGCGGUUUCUCAAAAGAGAAUAGAACAUCAAAUGAGCGAAAAAAGAAAACAAAAUGAGAGAAGGAGAAGAAAAAAGUAAACAAACGUUCGGGUUACCGGUUGCAAAUCGAAUGUCAAAGGAAACUGUUGAUCGAGUUAAUUGUUAACAAUUUAUUUAUGUGUUGCUGGUAAUUUGGUUCUUUCCAUGGUCGUAAUCAGGAAAUCUCAUUUUCGCUUCCGUAAAACUUUGGUCACAAUUGUUGCUCUUCAAUGUUUCGUUGGUUUCUAGACUUAUUUGUAUAUUUUCAAGAUGAAUUUGUUGACAUUUGAAUUAAUUGUUCACUUGUUUGGGUUAAUUAAUCAUCUAUUAACCAAUUAGAUUGGAUUGUCAACCCUUUUCCAUUGGAAAUGUCUCCUGAUUGUGUUGACAAUUGUCACAUCUCGUGAUCUAAAUUCAUCUCAGGUAGAUUAUCAUUUUAAUGUAUCCGAGAUAAGGUUAAUUGUUUAUAUCCAUGAGGGAAACCUAAACAAAAUGAAUUGUAUAUCAUUCAUCAAGCUUUCAUAUUAUAAACAAUAUUCAAUGGAAUUUAACAAAACGUCAAAAAAAUAUUAAUCAACUAUCGAUUAAUUUUCUCAAUUAAAUUGAUUGUAUUAAACAUCUCGAUAGAAGA